GAUGAACGCUGGCGGCGUGCCUAAUACAUGCAAGUCGAGCGAACGGACGAGAAGCUUGCUUCUCUGAUGUUAGCGGCGGACGGGUGAGUAACACGUGGAUAACCUACCUAUAAGACUGGGAUAACUUCGGGAAACCGGCGCUAAUACCGGAUAAUAUUUUGAACCGCAUGGUUCAAAAGUGAAAGACGGUCUUUCUGUCACUUAUAGAUGGAUCCGCGCUGCAUUAGCUAGUUGGUAAGGUAACGGCUUACCAAGGCAACGAUGCAUAGCCGACCUGAGAGGGUGAUAGGCCACACUGGAACUGAGACACGGUCCAGACUCCUAAGGGAGGCAGCAGUAGGGAAUCUUCCGCAAUGGGCGAAAGCAUGACGGAGCAACGCCGCGUGAGUGAUGAAGGUCUUCGGAUCGUAAAGAUCUGUUAUUAGGGAAGAACAUAUGUGUAAGUAAAUGUGCACAUCUUGACGGUACCUAAUCAGAAAGCAACGGCUAACUACGUG
rnacentral:rRNA from 1 species